UACACAGAUCUGCCAGACGAAGCACUAAACUUAGUGCAACCCAAAAUUGCCGUUAACCACGAAACCCUACUGUACAUCUUACGUGUACCAAAACUGGAGAGAGAAGAAUCAGCAAUACUUCAAAUCCAUCCGCUGAAUAAUAACAAUUCAAUGAUUAGGAAAUAUCCAACACACCUGAUUAAAAGCAGUCAUGGACUAUUCACAACCACCAAACCUGAUGAAUUCAUUCAACGUAGUAGUUACAUCAACAAACUGUUCGUUACUUCAUUUCUAAGCUAACCAAAAGAGACCCCAAAUCUUCAUCGCAGAAUCCCAUUGAAGACGCGUGAGGCCACGCUUUUUUCACCCCCCGGAGGAGUUAUGAUACAAUAUGCACAUCAACCGUAAUAGCUAACCAGAGGGCCCUGCCAACAGAGAAGCACCGUCAGCAGAACCCCUGGACUUCGAUCCCAAUCAGCCGUUGUCACCCAGAAAGUAAUAAUGCACCAUCAGCAGAAUUCCCCACCGGUCGAUCACCGAUGUUCCAAAUAGGCAGGCAUAGGAAAUGUUAAGUUAGCAAUAAUAAGUUAUAAAAGGUAGUGAAAGACAGUGAAUUGGGCAGUUCAUAGUUAGUAAGCAGUGAAUUCAGAUGUAAUUAGUGUAAAGUUUGAUUAAUAAAUUAUUUUUUUAUGAUUCCGUAA